rnacentral:rRNA from 1 species
CCUACGGGUGGCAGCAGUGGGGAAUAUUGCACAAUGGGCGAAAGCCUGAUGCAGCGACGCCGCGUGAGUGAAGAAGUUCUUCGUUUUGUAAACCUCUAUCAGCAGGGAAGAAAAUGCCGGUAGCUGAUUAGGAAUCAACUGAUAAAUACGUGCCAGCAGCCGCGGCAAUACGCCGGGGGCAAGCGUUAUCCGGAUUUACUGGGGGUAACGGGGGCGUAGACGGGAAUGCAAGCCACGAGUGAAAGCCCGGGGCCCAAUCACGGGACUGCUCUUGGAACUGGAAGGCGGGAGUAGAGGAGAGGAAAGCGGAAUUCCUAGUGUAGCGGUGAAAUGCGUAGAUAUUAGGAGGAACACCGGUGGCGAAGGCGGCCUGCUGGACCGUGACUGACGCUGAGGCACGAAGGCGUGGGGAGCAAACAGGAUUAGAUACCCUGGUAGUC